GGACAAGACUUUUUAAAAAAAUCCUUAACUCUUGUUUUAGAAUCAAUACUGUGUAUUGGUUCCAAUCCCAUCUCUUUGCACUUAGUCCAUCUACCUUUAUGUGGCUUUGCUUCUUCCCACCUGGAACUGUAAGCUUAGGAUAGGACCUCUGGAUAUUCUGUUUUUUGGCAAGUGAACGAAUGAGCCCAAAUUUAGCCUGCCCCAGACCAGAUUUAUGCCAUCACUGUUUAUUUAGUGGAAUUGGCACUGUAUUGAUUACUAAGAAGAGAGAACUUUUUUUGCCUUUUUUCCACAAGCUUAUGUUGUAUUUUGUUAUCAUUUUUUACAGAUAAUGGCCAUCUAUAUAACUCAAUACAGAUAAUAGACCUGGCAGGAUCAGCAGCUGAGAGGUCCCAAACGCGACAGAGAGCAUUGGUGAAGAAUGACAAGGCUUUAUGCGUGAACUAUACAAGCAGGUGGUACAUAGACAACUGGCCUAUGUCAAGAAGUGGAAAACAGACGGCAGAGGUGAGCAGAUGUCAGCAGAUGGCUUUACUAGAUGUUUGGAAGUGGGACCUUCAGAGACAGUCCACUGGGAAAGUUGAAAAAAGUGAUCUUCAAAAAUUCAUUGGUGUGAAAUCUUAGCACUCUUAAAAGAAGGCAAAGAAGGAUUUUAAGAGUUUUUCGCCUCAACGUGCAGCUGUCCUAGAGAACAAAGUCAGGCCGAGUGGUAUAGUCUCAUGAAACUUGUUCUUACUUAAAUAUCACACAUUGAUUACUUUUUAAAGAACUUGUACCUUGGGUUAGUUUGUGUAGUUUUUAAUUAUGAUCAAUCAGCGAACACUUACUUGGUAGAAUGCUGCAGACAAGCAUUUCCUUAAAGUCAGUGAUUAUAGGCAAAGCAAAUGAGUGGAAGGUAUUCAGCGAAUUAAGGGAAUAGCUUUAUUCCUAAAUGGAAUAUGGAUUCUAGAACAACUUGCAUAGACCUGAUCAGGCAUUUGUAUUGAAUGCCCAAGAGAGAGGCCCAGAUGUUGAAUCCAAAUUGUUAAAGUCUUUGAAAAAUUUCAUACUAAGACAAGGUGAUUGAGGGAUAGGACAAUAUAAUGAAUAGAGACACUGGCUUUGCAAUUAGGAGACCUAGGUUCAACUCUCAGCCCUGCUGUCUUGUAACUUAAAAUGUUUCUAGUAUUUACUUCACAGGGAUCAAAUAAGUUAAUGUAUUUAAAGUGAUUUUUAAAAAAUUUUCCCAAGAACUUACUAUUUAUCCAUAAGUAAUUUGUUACUCGGACAUUUUUUUGAUUUUGCCGUAGCUCUUCAUGGCCUCAUUUAGGAUAUUCCUGGUCACCGCACUGGAGUGUUGGGCAUUUCCUUUUCCAGCUCUUUUUAUGGAUGAGGAAAGUUAGGCAAACAGGGUUAAGCAACUUGCCUAGGGUCACCCAGCUAGUGUGUGUCUGGGGCCCAAUUUGAACUAGAGUAAUCUUCCUAUAUCCAAGCCUGGCGCUCUUUCCUAGUACCUCGCACCUACUGUACAUUUGCAGUUUACAUCCCCUCUAAUUAGCCUUUGUUUCCUCAUCUGUAAAAUAGGGAUAAUAGUUGCAUUACUGCAUAUCAUACAGAGCAACAUUAAUAAAAUUCUUUUCUGAAAAUGAAUUUCUUGUCA
ensembl:lncRNA